rnacentral:rRNA from 1 species
CCCGACUGCUAUUUGGGUGAGGGAUAAGCCAUGCGAGUUAUAUGGGAUACCUAAAUUUCCCAUGGCAAACUGCUUAGUAACACAUGAUCAACUUACCCUAUGGAGAAAAAUAACCUCGGGAAACUGAGGAUAAUGUUUCAUAGGUGAAUAGGCUUGGAAAAGUUUUUCAUCGAAAAGGAUAAGAAAAAUGGUUUUUAUCUGUCCAUAGGAUAGGAUCGUGGUCGAUUAUGGUUGUUGGUGAGGUAACGGCUCACCAAGCCGACAAUCGAUAGGGGCCGUGAGAGCGGGAGCCCCAAGAUGGGUACUGAGACAGCGACCCAGGCCUUACGAGGCGCAGCAGGCGCGAAACCUCCGCAAUACACGAAAGUGUGACGGGGUUACCCAAAGUGUUCUUUUAAGAACUGUGGUAGGUGAGUAAUAGCCCUACUAGAAAGGAGAGGGCAAGGCUGGUGCAACCGCCGCGGUAAAACCAGCUCUUCAAGUUGGUCGGGAUAAUUAUUGGGCUUAAAGUGUCCGUAGCCGGUUUAGUAAGUCCCUGGUAAAAUCGGGUAGCUUAACUAUCCGCAUGCUAGGAAUACUACUAUACUAGAGGGCGGGAGAGGUCUGAGGUACUACAGGGGUAGGGGUGAAAUCUUAUAAUCCUUGUAGGACCACCAGUGGCGAAGGCGUCAGACUGGAACGCGCCUGACGGUGAGGGACGAAAGCCAGGGGAGCGAACCGGAUUAGAUACGUCGGUGCUAGUUGAAUGUAAGAAUUACUAACACCACGCUAAAAACCCGGGUAGUCCUGGCCGUAAACGAUGCAUACUAGGUGAUGAUACGGCCAUGAGCCGUGUCAGUGCCGUAGGGAAACCGUUAAGUGUGCCGCCUGGGAAGUACGGUCGCAAGGCUAAAACUUAAAGGAAUUGGCGGGGGAGCACCACAAGGGGUGAAGCCUGCGGUUC